ACAAAAUAUGACGACACUAUUGUUUUAUCUUUUUUUCGCAGAAGAAGGAUAAAAAAAAGUGCAACAAGAAAUGCGGAUAUAAAAUGCAACUUUAAUUUGGUAUAAUCGCAUACAUUGUUCGUUUAUUCACUUUUGUACGUACGUUGGUGUUUUGUGGCAAGAAGAUCAAAUUGUGCUGCUGGGAGUUUUGCUCGAAACAAUCAGGAUAACUAGAAAAUUGAGAAGAAAAACAAAAACCAGUCAAGGAAAGUACGUACUUGCAAAGCUGAAAGACAUGCAUUCCAAAUUAAAUCUUCACUUCACCAUUUUUAUGGCAUUACUGAGCGUCUCCGUUCAUGGAUUCCAUGUGAAUAAUUCUGAUACGCAUUCCACAAGUGAAUCAAUUAGGUCUAUUGUUCUUCCUAAAAACGCAUCUGCAACCCUAUCACAAUCUUCCGUCGAGUUUAUGAAAAAAAUAAUGGCUGUACAAGUCCAAUUAGCAAUCAAGAUGAAAGAGACGGAAAAACGGAACGUUGAAUUGCGCCUGAAAGAAAAAGAGGCUGAAAAACGAGAGGAUGGAAUAAAAAAGUUGGAGGAGCAACUCAAGCAAAAGGAAGAAUACAUCAGUAAAACAGCAGCGGAACAACGAAAUAAAGAAGAAAAUAUUACAAAAUGUGAAAGCGAAAUCAAAAACAUGGGAAACAUUUUGAAAAAACGAGAAGAAAUAUUGAAGCAAAAAGAAAAUAAAACCUGUUCUGUGUCUUGGGUUCGUGCAUCUACUGGUAGUGUGCCUGCAAAUGCGAUUGUGGGAGGACGCGACGUAAAUAAUGAUUUGUACUAUGUUGGACGAGUAAACCUGCUCAGUUCCUUGACUCCUGGAAAAGUGAGAAUCAACUAUGGCAUAUGUGUUGCCAAUUAUGGCAAGGAACAUUGUUAUGGCAAUUUUGAAGUCGCUGUAUUAGAUAAGCUAAAUCCCAAUGAAUGAUAGUUCUCCUUGGAGAAUACCUACAAGUUCUAGGAGUGAUAAGUAUAACGAUGAAAAAGAUAAUUUGUAAGAUUAUUUUAAUGUUAUGUUCGUUAUGUUUAUACGAAAUUAAAUCAAAAAUCUAAAAACUUAUUCGUACCAUU